UACGUAGGGUGCGAGCGUUAAUCGGAAUUACUGGGCGUAAAGCGUGCGCAGGCGGUUUUGUAAGCCAGAUGUGAAAUCCCCGGGCUUAACCUGGGAAUGGCAUUUGGGACUGCAAGGCUUGAGUGCGGCAGAGGAGACUGGAAUUCCUGGUGUAGCAGUGAAAUGCGUAGAUAUCGGGAGGAACACCUGUGGCGAAAGCGGCGCACUGGACCAUAACUGACGCUGAUGCGCGAAAGCUAGGGGAGCAAACAGG
rnacentral:rRNA from 1 species